rnacentral:rRNA from 1 species
GACGAACGCUGGCGGCGUGCCUAACACAUGCAAGUCGAACGGAGAUGCUGAAUUUCGAUUUGGUAUCUUAGUGGCGCACGGGUGAGUAACGCGUGAACAACUUGACCUUCAGAGGGGGAUAGCAGCGAGAAAUCGGUGCUAAUACCGCAUGAGACCACAAUUCCACAUGGAGAAGGGGUCAAAGGAGCAAUCCGCUGAAGGAGAGGUUCGCGUCCCAUUAGGUAGUUGGCGGGAUAACAGCCCACCAAGCCGACGAUGGGUAGCCGAGCUGAGAGGCUGAUCGGCCACACUGGGAACUGAGACACGGGUCCAGACUCCUACGGGAGGCAGCAGUGGGGAAUAUUGCACAAUGGGGGAAACCCUGAU